AAGGGUUGCCACCACUCAGAGGAGCACAGCAGGAUUAGCCCCACACAGGUGAAAAGAAAGUGAAUGGUUCUUUCUGUGAGCAGAUUUUCUUUCUAAAACAAUGCCUCCUGCAGCUAAAGGAGGAAAAGAGGAAACCAACAAUACCAACAGCUAGGGGAAGAGAUAGGUGAGGUCUCUGUUUUCUGAUGAGGAAGCUAAGCCUUGGAAGCCAGGCUUCAAACCUAGCGGGGGCAUAAUGAUCUUUCCAGUGUACAUUUUUGCUUUUGCAAAUUAGAAGAGUUAUUAAGUUUAUGAGUCAGUAUCAUGAAGAUCAAGAUGAUAUCUAAAAGGUUACUGGCAUGCAGUUUCCAUAAUAUUGCUAGAAGACAAGACUGAAUCAUAGCCUCCCAGGAACAGAAGAAACCUCAAAAGUUAUCGAGGCUGUUGUUUGGCAGCAACUGGAGCUACGUCCAAGCUGGUGGGUAUGCAGCGAUGGGCUGGGAACUCAUCUCCUCUUGGAAGUGGUAAGUGGUGAUAUGGAGGCAGUCCAACUGACUCCGGGGUUUGAAAAACAGAAACAUGGCUGAGUAAAGCCACCAAUUAAAACAGACCCUUGUGAGCACUGCAGAAGAUGGUAGUUUUCAGCACAUGGUGCUUGUAAGUAUCUGACAAUUUCAUAGCUUGAAACAAUUGGGCAGUCAAAUAAUCAACUUGAAAUCUCUGUGCAGUUCGCAAGGUUAUUGCCCACAAAAUAUUAGCUCUAAGAUGGUAAAAGGCUAUCAUGGUGACCUGACUCCAAAGUGAAUUCUGUCUUCAGGAAAAUCCCAAGUCUUCAAAGGAGCCAAACUGUUGUGGAUAAAUAGAAGGGAAGCAUGAGUAUUGUUGUGAAAGAAAACUCUAAAAUACAACAGUGUCUAUAAAUAGUGAGGGCUCCCCAAAAGACUAGAAAAUAUUUCUUGGAACGAAGAACUGGCUACUUCCACAGAAUUUGCCCUUAGACUUUGGAUUUAUACUGUGGCCACUGCAAGUUGAACAUUUUCCCAAAUACUCAGAGCAGAUGCUCACAACUCAUUCCCAAGGCAAAAGCUUCCUCAAAUGUCGAGGAUACUCUAACCCUUGUAAAUUAUAAAAUGGUCUAUGCAUGAAUAUAAUUAGAUUCAACAAUUACAAAAUAAAGAAAAAUGAUGGCUGGGAUAGAUGCAUAAGUUUAAUGAAACCCCAAGCAUCAAAUAGAGGUCAAAAGUUUCUCUUUUUAUUAAUCUUUAAAGUAUGAGUCAGCUGUUGAGUUCAUUGUGACAGUUAUGGAAAUAUUUAGUCAUCAAACCAAAAAUGCUUUAUGGCAAACUCCAAAUA
rnacentral:lncRNA from 1 species